AUUUUAAAAAAUACUGGGAAUGUUGCUUGGUGGCAGAGCACACACAGAGAACUGGGUUUGGUCCCCAGCAUUACAAAACGGCAGGGGUGCCUGAUGGUGGGAACUAGAAUCCAUCAAGGGAAACAUCAGCAAACGCUGUGAAAAGACACGAAGGAGCGUUUUCAGCCGGAUCCAUCGCAGAACUGCCUUCCUUACUGCCUUCAGCAGUCUGAUUGAAAGGUGGAUUUCCAGUCUGGGAGAGUGUUCCACGGUGCCAACGGUUUUAAGUGCUCAGACUUGGUAAAAUAGGGUAAAAACUGAUGAAAUGUACUUUCUUUGCAGGUCAGUUCCCGGAAAGAUUUGUAUGUGUGCUACAUGAAAAUCUGGUUCCAUCUCGGCAGGUUCAGUGUCAUUGUUCUGGCUUAGGGCCUUCCAGGUUGGUGUGUCUAUGAGCCUCUUGGCUGUGUGGCAUUUCUUCUGCCUGUGCAGGGACACUGGUCAAUGAGAAAAAAAAGUCUUAUUGAAUACGCAUCAAGCCAAAAGAUGAGGCAACCUGCUGAAAGGAUUGUGAAGAUACAGAGCAUCUCCCUCUGGCCAGGUGGACGUGGCUGGACAGACUGUUCCGUGAGGCUCACCUUUUGCAGUCAGGUUGGGUCCAUUUCUGAGUGACAGCAGUUCAGAGAGGGCUCAGGGGUCCUGGAGGAAAUGUCCCAGAGUGACCAUGACAUGGUCCCCAGCCUCUGCUGUGCCUGGCUGCCGGAAGUGACAGGACUGUAUGGCUGUGACCUGGUGGUUUCUCAUGGGAAGUACAGUCCUUCCCUACAUGACAUUGCUGACACAAACAAGAUGACAGAUUAGAUGUGUCUAAUUUUAUCCCAGGAAGAAGGAGGCCAGUAGUUAUUGAGCCUACGCAAGAACAACUUCCCCUGGAAAGGUGGGGCUUCCAGGGUGCCCUCCAGCAGGAGGGACUUUGCUAGGCCUGAAUUAGCACCCCAGGCAGUAGCGUGGUUGUAUUUUUACCACAUUGCCACAGACUACAAUAGUCUAUUUAAAUAAAGUUCAAAUUUAGUUUUGCUCCAGGGCAGGGUGGGAAACCCUAAAUUAUCAAAUCUAAGUGUCCAGUUCCUCACUUGCGAUGAGUGCUACACACACACCUUCUGCAGUGGUCACAGGAAUGAAGUGGAACAAGCUCAAGGUCCCAGUCGGAUCCCUGGUACCACCAAAAAAAAAAAGGAAUGAAAGAUAGUAGUGCUCACCCAAGGGCAUGAGGUGGGGCCUCCAUAAAAGCUAGAAGCAAGUAGUUGGGGAUGAGGCUCAGCGGGGGAGUGUGUGCCGAGCAGGUGUGAGACCCUGGGUUCCAUACCCAGCACCAAAAUGAAAUAUUUCCACUAAAAAACAUAUACC